AUUAAUUAAUAAAGAUAAUAAUAAUAACAAUAAUAAUAACAAAUAAUACUUUUUUUCGUUUGUUAAAGAUUUGUGGUGGAAGUGAGAAGGAGAUUAUGAAGAAACUGUCAAAGAAUGUAAAAAAAAAAAGAAAAAAAAGAUAUAUAUAAAUUAGAUCUAUAUAAAUGUUAAAAUGUGAGAUUUUUGCUAGGUAGAUACAAGAGGCAAUAUGACUAAGGCAUCGUUUGGGAUUGUGGGGAGAUUGCGUUAUGUGUGGUGAGAAACGACGAUGGAAAAGUAUCAUGUUUGUUUCUGUACGUAAUAUUACAUUCCGCAUAUUACGGUUAAUCGGUUACGAUAUAUUUUCUGCGGUUCCAUCGGAGAACAUAGAAGCAUAUUGCUAUAUGUUUUUUCUCAACUCCAUUCUAUCUAAUAGCAUUAGAUAGACGUCAAUACCAAACUAACCCUAAAACAUAUUAAAAAGUCCUCUUGGCCACUUUUUUUUUUUUUAUUUUGCUAGAUUAUUUUGCUUCAAAUAAUCACAAACUUUGAAACCUCUCUCUCUCUCUCUCUCUCUCUCUCUCUCUCUCUCUCUCUC
rnacentral:lncRNA from 1 species